rnacentral:rRNA from 1 species
AUGAACGCUGGCGGCGUGCCUAAUACAUGCAAGUCGAGCGAACAGAUGAGGAGCUUGCUCCUCUGACGUUAGCGGCGGACGGGUGAGUAACACGUGGAUAACCUACCUAUAAGACUGGGAUAACUUCGGGAAACCGGAGCUAAUACCGGAUAAUAUAUUGAACCGCAUGGUUCCAUAGUGAAAGACGGUUUUGCUGUCACUUGUAGAUGGAUCCGCGCCGCAUUAGCUAGUUGGUAAGGUAACGGCUUACCAAGGCAACGAUGCGUAGCCGACCUGAGAGGGUGAUCGGCCACACUGGAACUGAGACACGGUCCAGACUCCUACGGGAGGCAGCAGUAGGGAAUCUUCCGCAAUGGGCGAAAGCCUGACGGAGCAACGCCGCGUGAGUGAUGAAGGUCUUCGGAUCGUAAAACUCUGUUAUUAGGGAAGAACAAAUGUGUAAGUAACUAUGCACGUCUUGACGGUACCUAAUCAGAAAGCCACGGCUAACUACGUG